AAAAUGAUUGAUGACCUCCAGAUAGAGCCAACCAUGACAAUAUUACUGAUGGCUGACAAAACAUCCAGGAAACCAGUAGGAAUAAUUAAAAAUGUUAUGAUUAAAUUGAAAAAUUCUCAUCUUCUAUAAAUUUCAUGGUGAUAGACAUCGAGGAAGAUCAAUGAUAACUUUUUUAUUAGGAAGACCCUUCACGAAAUUCACAAAGAUGCUCUUG
rnacentral:lncRNA from 1 species